rnacentral:tRNA from 1 species
UGGGGAGUGGUCUAAUGGCAAGACACAGGUUUUUGGUGCCUUGAGAUUUCGGUUCGAAUCCGGACUCCCCAG